GGCGGGUAAGAAAUUGAGUGU
rnacentral:siRNA from 1 species